rnacentral:ncRNA from 2 species
GAUAGUCUUUGAGGCAAGGUGCGGAAUGUAAGCAUUCCAAUUCCUGACCGGCGGUCAUAGUCCGCAAACUCUGAAAUGGGUUGACUCGGUGCGAUUCCGAGACCGACAGUAUAGUCUGGAUGGGAAAAGACACGC